rnacentral:rRNA from 1 species
GAUGAACGCUAGCGGCAGGCCUAACACAUGCAAGUCGAGGGGUAGAACACUUCGGUGUUUGAGACCGGCGCACGGGUGCGUAACGCGUAUGCAAUCUACCUUGUACAGGGGAAUAGCCCAGAGAAAUUUGGAUUAAUGCCCCAUAGUAUAUAACCUUCGCAUGUUGGUUAUAUUAAAGUUUCAACGGUACAAGAUGAGCAUGCGUCCCAUUAGUUAGUUGGUAAGGUAACGGCUUACCAAGACGAUGAUGGGUAGGGGUCCUGAGAGGGAGAUCCCCCACACUGGUACUGAGACACGGACCAGACUCCUACGGGAGGCAGCAGUGAGGAAUAUUGGUCAAUGGUCGCAAGACUGAACCAGCCAUGCCGCGUGCAGGAAGACGGUCCUAUGGAUUGUAAACUGCUUUUAUACAGGAAGAAACCCCUCCCACGUGUGGGAGCUUGACGGUACUGUAGGAAUAGGAUCGGCUAACUCCGUGCCAGCAGCCGCGGUAAACUGUAGUCGUC